rnacentral:rRNA from 1 species
CUACGGGUCGCUCCAGUGUGGAAUAUUGCACAAUGGAGGAAACUCUGAUGCAGCAACGCCGCGUGGAGGAUGACACUUUUCGGAGCGUAAACUCCUUUUAUAUAGGAAGAAGAUGACGGUACUAUAUGAAUAAGCGCCGGCUAACUCCGUGCCAGCAGCCGCGGUAAUACGGAGGGCGCAAGCGUUACUCGGAAUCACUGGGCGUAAAGAGCGUGUAGGCGGAUUAAAAAGUCAGAAGUGAAAUCCUAUAGCUUAACUAUAGAACUGCUUCUGAAACUCUUAAUCUAGAAUAUGGGAGAGGUAGAUGGAAUUUCUGGUGUAGGGGUAAAAUCCGUAGAGAUCAGAAGGAAUACCGAUUGCGAAGGCGAUCUACUAGAACAUUAUUGACGCUGAGACGCGAAAGCGUGGGGAGCAAACAGGAUUAGAUACCCGAGUAGUC